GACGAACGCUGGCGGCGUGCUUAACACAUGCAAGUCGAACGGAAAGGCCCUGCUUUUGUGGGGUGCUCGAGUGGCGAACGGGUGAGUAACACGUUAGUAACCUGCCCUUGACUUUGGGAUAACUUCAGGAAACUGGGGCUAAUACCGGAUAGGAGCUCCUGCUGCAUGGUGGGGGUUGGAAAGUUUCGGCGGUUGGGGAUGGACUCGCGGCUUAUCAGCUUGUUGGUGGGGUAGUGGCUUACCAAGGCUUUGACGGGUAGCCGGCCUGAGAGGGUGACCGGACACAAUGGGAAUGAGAUACGGCCCAGAAGCCUACGGGAGGCAGAAGUGGGGAAUAUUGCACAAUGGGCGGAAGCCUGAGGCAGAAACGCCGCGUGCGGGAUGACGGCCUUCGGGUUGUAAACCGCUUUCGCCUGUGACGAAGAGUGAGUGACGGUAAUGGGUAAAGAAGCAACGGCUAACUACGUG
rnacentral:rRNA from 1 species